UACGAAGGGGGCUAGCGUUGUUCGGAAUUACUGGGCGUAAAGCGCGCGUAGGCGGCCUUGCAAGUCAGGGGUGAAAGGCCUGGGCUUAACCCGGGAUCUGCCUUUGAGACUGCGAGGCUUGAGAGUGGGAGAGGAUGGUGGAAUUCCCAGUGUAGAGGUGAAAUUCGUAGAUAUUGGGAAGAACACCGGUUGCGAAGGCGGCCAUCUGGCCCACCACUGACGCUGAAGUGCGAAAGCGUGGGGAGCAAACAGG
rnacentral:rRNA from 1 species